rnacentral:rRNA from 1 species
AUUGAACGCUGGCGGCAGGCUUAACACAUGCAAGUCGAGCGGAGCGGCGGACGGGUGCGUAAUACUUAGGAAUCUGCCUAUUAAUGGGGGACAACAUCUCGAAAGGGAUGCUAAUACCGCAUAUUAAUAGAUGAGCCAAACUGGGAUUAGCUAGUUGGUGGGGUAAAGGCCUACCAAGGCGACGAUCUGUAGCGGGUCUGAGAGGAUGAUCCGACACACUGGGACUGAGACACGGCCCAGACUCCUACGGGAGGCAGCAGUGGGGAAUCUUGGACAAUGGGGGGAACCCUGAUCCAGCCAUGCCGCGUGUGUGAAGAAGGCCUUAUGGUUGUAAAGCACUUUAAGCGAGGAGGCGUUACUCGCAGAAUAAGCACCGGCUAACUCUGUGCCAGCAGCCGCGGUAAUUC